rnacentral:lncRNA from 1 species
CAAUCCAUAAAUUCGAGCUAUUACACAUGAAAUGCAUAACACAAAAUAUACAUGCCGUUAACCUAGACUUUAGGAGUAGAAAUUCGAUGAUAAACCCACCUCAAAAGCUACUCCAAACUCCGGCAAGAAGCCAAAAGAAACGAAAACACGCGCUCGCCCGGCCUCCCGACGGCGCUACUACGACGAACGCACGCUCGAACGACUCCGCUGCAUGACGUCGACGUCGAUCCGAACUCCACCCGAAGCCUUCUCCACGUACGGCUCAAGAACUAGA